rnacentral:rRNA from 1 species
UACGAAGGGGGCUAGCGUUGUUCGGAAUUACUGGGCGUAAAGGGCGCGUAGGCGGCUCUUCAAGUCAGGCGUGAAAGCCCCGGGCUCAACCUGGGAACCGCGCUUGAGACUGGAGAACUAGAGUUCGGGAGAGGAUGGUGGAAUUCCCAGUGUAGAGGUGAAAUUCGUAGAUAUUGGGAAGAACACCGAUGGCGAAGGCAGCCAUCUGGACCGACACUGACGCUGAGGCGCGUAAGCGUGGGGAGCAAACAGG